UACAGAGGGGGCGAGCGUUGUUCGGAAUUACUGGGCGUAAAGGGCGCGUAGGCGGCCCGCUAAGUCGAACGUGAAAUCCCCGGGCUCAACCCGGGAACUGCGUCCGAUACUGGCAGGCUUGAAUCCGGGAGAGGGAUGUGGAAUUCCAGGUGUAGCGGUGAAAUGCGUAGAUAUCUGGAGGAACACCGGUGGCGAAGGCGGCAUCCUGGAUCGGUAUUGACGCUGAGGCGCGAAAGCCAGGGGAGCAAACGGG
rnacentral:rRNA from 1 species